rnacentral:misc_RNA from 1 species
AAGUCGUAACAAGGUCUCCGUUGGUGAACCAGCGGAGGGAUCAUUGCUGGAACAAACGCCCUCACGGGUGCUACCCAGAAACCCUUUGUGAAUUAUUCUCAUUGUUGCCUCGGCAUUGACUGGCCUCUUCUGGAAGUCCCUUUCUCUUCGGGGAAAGGAGCAGGUCGGCCGGUGGCCCUAUAAACUCUUUGUUUUUACAGUGUAUCUUCUGAGUAAACAACUAUAAAUGAAUCAAAAC